UUUAAGUGUAACCAUAAGUUUUCGUGAUUAACUUUGAUCGUUCAUUUUAUUUAUUUAUUUUAUAAUUAAUAUUUUUGUUCUCAUAAGAUGAUAAAAUAUGAAUAGUACUUUAUUUUAUUAUUUUUUAAAAAAAUAAUAAGAUGGACGAUCAAAGUUAAAGCAUGAAAAACCAUAGCUGCACUUAAA
rfam:Oryza sativa Japonica Group DNA, chromosome 1, cultivar: Nipponbare, complete sequence.